GGUGAGUACAGCUUGUUUAUAUAGGAAAUAUAGCUGCAUGCUUAUGUUUGGCUAUGAUCACAUUUAAAAUAUCAAAGUGUUGUCUACUGUGCUUAAAAGCUGUGUUUCUUGAUUUAAUAAUCGUUCAAAUAGAACAGGACAGGCUUCGCAAAGCAUGACUUGGAGAGCGUUUGUCUUUGACCCUGCGAUUCUAUGCAACAGGUGACACGUUCAAGUCCCUCAGGUUCAAGUCCAGGAUGGGGGACCAGCACCAUCCCACAAAUAGUUUUGGAUACCUGUUCUGCUCUAUACCAGGUUAUAAAGGAAGAUUUCUUAAAGACACCAUCAACGGGAGGAGAGUGGCAUACAAUAGCCAUGGACUUCGAAAGGAAGUGGCAGUUUCCACAUUGCUUUGGGGUACUUGCUACCACUCCAGCUGUAGCAGACUGCUGACCACAACAUGGUUGAUGGGCAGUGGAAAAAUCAUGGGAUGGGUGCUUUUCAACCGAUGAAGAACACCUCACAUCACAAUUGUAUGGCAAUAGCAAAAGUGCAACGCAAUCUGAUGCGGGACUACUUUGUCUCACCAGCGGGUAGUGUUUAUUGUCAAGUUCAACACAUUUUAAAAGGAACUGAUGUAGAGUUAUCCCUGGAAACAGCACAUUAAAUCCAGUUAUUGUCAGUUUAGGACAUUCGUUUUCUUGUGUGUUCUAAAGUCCUGUAUUUGUAAAGAACACA